AGUUUACUUGUCAUGUUUUGAAGGCUUUUUCUAGUCGGUCUCGCACAGAUGUUAUGUACACUGAUUUAAGCAGAGUGUUUGAUAAGGUUAAUCAUAACUUAAGCUCUUAUCUGAACAAUAGAUCUUUCAGGGUUUUGUUAACCUUCAUCACCUCGGCUAGCCGUUAGGUAUGCGAAAGAGUAGAAAGAGAGAAAAAUCAUGCGAAGAAAUUUGGUGGUGGGUUUUGGUGUGUUUGGCUGAUUGUUAGAGAGUCGAGUGGUAGCUGCCCAAGCAAACGGUCGCUUUUAUUUGCCUAUUGUACAAAGAAGAUAUAAAAAAACAAUUAAGGAAACGCAUAUUUUAUUUAAAGAUUUGAUUAACCCGGUUGCAUAUUAGGCUCUUUUUUUUUGUAAGAAACGCGUCCUGAAUUUUUUUUUUGUUAAGAAAAUUGAAAACUUGAGAUUUUGUAUAAAAAGUUCAGAUAAAAAAUCACGUUCAAAAAAAACUAAGGAAAGGAUUCAUGAAAGAAAAAAAAAAGGAAAUAAGCUUUGACAUGUGCUUAAGUUGAUUUAAAACAAAAUUAUUCACAAAAAAAGAUGGGAAAAGAAAGGAAAAAAAAAGGAAGCAAAAUUCUACUUUAACCAUUUAAAUAAUUCUUAAAAAAAAAAAAAAAAAUAUGAAUACAAACAUUAGUUUAUUGGUAUAGUUUUGUAUUAUGAGUUCGAUUAUUGUACUUAUUAAGAAAAGAAAGAAAAAAUGUUUUAUUUGCAAGUUUUUUCCUGACAAAUUGAUAAUAUCUUGCGGACUAAAGUGAAAUUCUGUAUAAAAAAAGGAGAAAUAAGUAAAUAAGCGACAACAAAGUUAAAAAAAAAGGAAAAAGGGCAUACCAAUCAUCAAGCCAAACUUGAAAAGAAAAUUAAGCUACGGCAGAUGAAGGUAAAACCUUUUCCAAUACAGAAAACCUUCGUAUUAGCAUUUGCGUUGAUUUGCAAAAAUAAAGAACAGGAGAAAAAUUGCAUGUGACAGAUUUACGAAAAGAAAUUUUUAUUAAAUUAAAUUGAGAAUUUAACUACGGAUAAGAAGUGUAAUUUACUGUAAUAAAGUUAUGAUUUAUAUACGAAUGUAUUGUUAUACAGGUCAAGGCAAAUGUCAAUGUCGUUAAAAUCGCAAAAUAUAUGUGAAAAAAAGAAGACUUUUUUUCUGGCAAAAUCUUGAGGUUUCGCUUUAAUUAAAGCGAGUAGGAAAGCAUCAAAAUAUGGCUAGUGAAACGGUGAACGUACCAGCCUAAGGAAGUCUACUAUUAACGUGUGGUGUUCGGUAAGGCGGCUGAGCAAAUUAGUUCCUACUAACAUUGCUGCCGGACCUGCCGCCUGCCUUGCCUAGAAGAGGCGAUGAUCUUGUAUGUACUGCGCCCACAUCGGCUAUUGUGGAACAUUAGCACCUGGAGCAGCCAGCGUGUGUCUGCCACGAGGAUGCCACCUCUCUACCUGGCCCUUCAUCAUCUCAACGGUCAGCGCGCCAGCUCAAAUAAUUUAAUCGCGCUACCGAAAGGUGAGCUAGGGCCGUGACACACCUUGAGAUCGAUGCUAACACUGGGCAAAUUCGUCUACAGCCACGUACGUAGAGUUUUAUUAUAUACCCAGAGAUAUAUGACAGUUUGCGCCGGAAUUCUGUUUAAGAGGCUAAGUAAAAUUUAAAAAAUAUUCUAAUCACAAUUACCAUUGGACGCUUCUUUUAUAUGGUUAAUCACAUAACAACUUUCUUAAACGUGACGUUGCUCGAUAUUAACGAUCAUGAACAGCAAAGGCCGGAUAAGCUACAAUUCUCGUGCAGAAAUGUUUCGAGAAGGCAAAUAUUGCUUUGAGAUGAUCCAGCUAAUAAGAAUCGUUUACGAACUUCUCUGCAUCUGUUAUAGGCCAGGCAACACAAUUAUUUAGCUAAAGGCUUACAAGAUAAAUAUCUGACGUGGAAUGAUGAGACCGUUUUUUAAGAAAGUCUUAGAAUACUUGGAGCUCAAAUAGGUCAUAUAUUUAAUAAUAAAUUUUUGUCUGCGCUUUUGAAACGAAAAUUGACUGCUAAGAAAGGAUUACUUCCUCAAAAUGACAAUUUAGAUGCGUCUGAUAUAUGCCGUAAUCGACAACCAGAGACCCGAACGCAACGAUGCCUUCUUAUUAUCGUACUCACAAUAACAUCUUGGAAAAUGUUUUCAGUUACAAAGUCUUAGAAGUUAUUUUUGAUUCAAAACUCAAGUUUGACAGUCAUACUGAAGUAUCCGUUGAUGAAAUUGAAUCAUUUUUAGGGUUUAUAAAAAGAUGGUCUAAAGAAUUUAAAGAAGUGCUUGUAUACUUGUUUAAUUAGACCAACUGUUGAAUUCUCGUCGUCGAUGGUUUGGCUUCCUAGUUGUAGAUGCCAUAUUGAUUUCUUGGAGUCUGUUCAACGGGAGUUCUUGAUGUUUGCCUUGUGAGGUUUGGGGUGGGAUCCAGCCCACUUCUUCCACUGUAUAAGAAUAAAUCAUUGAUUUGCCUUCCCUUGAAAAAAGGAACAAAUGGUGGGUUAAACCUUCCUUUGUAAGCUAAACAAAGUUAAUGUUUGCUGGCUUUAGAAGAACUUAUUAAUAUUAAUAUCCCUAGUAAGAUAUGAAAACGUAUUGUGCUAUAGAACAACUACAGCCACCCCGAUGCUGUACAGUUGUUCAAUCCGUUUCGGGUAAUGUGUCAAAUGUUGAACGAUCACUACCAUUUACUUGAUCUGUCGGUUUACUGUUAAGUCGUUGAGUCUUUCAUAUAUAAAGGUAAAUUGAAUCAAAAUACACCUUUAUAUUUGUUUCUUUCGUAUUUGUUACUAUUAAUAAUGUAUAAAUAAACUCAUAUUCAUUCAUCAAUACACAUCAAUAUAUAUCAUCAAUAUAUAUCUUAAUUUAGGAUUUAGACGAAUUUUGUUGUACAUUAUACCUUGAUCUCAUGCUUAUUUUUAGUUUUUUUUUUUUCUUUAUAUUACAUUUUAAAUUAUUUUACAGCUUAAGGUAAGGACUUGGUCCGUAGCGGGAUUCAGUUAAUGAAAUAAAUAAAUAAAAUUUUUGGAAA